rnacentral:misc_RNA from 1 species
UGUGGGAGCUGGCUUGCCUGCGAUAGCGGUCUGUCAAUGGCGGAUUCUUGCCCUGACACACCGCUAUCGCAGGCAAGCCAGCUCCCACA